GCCCCGGUGGCUCAAUUGGAUAGAGCAUCUGGCUUCGGACCAGAGGGUUGCAAGUUCAAUUCUUGCUCGGGGCG
rnacentral:tRNA from 1 species